UAUGCUUCUUGGUCUUUUGGAUAAGAUCAAGAGUAGUAUCUGCUUUAAUCAGGUUAGUAUCUGAUCAGUCCUUGAUUUGAAGAUGAUGUAAUAAACAGAUUUUGGGAGCAGGGAGCUGGGUCAGAAUCUUCCUCUGUCCUCACCACUUAAUGGCCUGGUAAUACAGUACUUCCAGGGUAGGUAUCUUUACC